ACAGCUACAACGCGUCGUGUUUGUUUACUAUCGAGUUCUUCGUUGGCUCGAUCCGCAAUCAAGAUGCGUUGCCUAGUAACGCGCACUACGUCGAGGCUUCUAACACGCUACCUAGUGCACCUAAGCAUACACACAAGGUCACCAUGCACAAAAAAAUCUGUGUUUUUCCCAGGGUGCAUUAAGGUCGUGUUACGCAAGGGACCCCUCGGAUAUCUCCUUCAGGAGCCCACUGAGGAGGCCAGGGUGAUCGAAGAUAACCCAGCUCUUCAGGACAAGUCGGCACCAAAGAAGUAGGAGCUCGUCAGGCAAAACGCUCUUGCUGUGGUCCGUCAGGGAGGAAGCGAUGCCUCUGAUGAAAAAGAAGUUCUUGGCAAUUACAUCCUGCAGUUUAUAAAUCUUUCAGGUAGCUUCUUGAAAAUGACAUGGGUUACAUCUAUCUAAUCACGAACCUUCAGCAGGAAGAGGCUGCUAAUUAUGCCCGCGGUGUUAACAAAAUUCAGUCUCUUCUCAGUUACUGUAUGUGUUGAAAAAUCCAGGUGCACCAGCAGACUCGUCGGAGGGUGACCAGAUGUUGGUUGGCUUUGCUCAUGCGAAGAGUAUGAGGCAGGAGAUUUGGAACAGCAGGGCUGAUGGUUAUGCAUCCUUUAUAUUGGGGACACAGAUGUACAAGCUACAGCAAUACCUGCGAAGUCAGACGCAGUCUGCCCGUCCGCCCAUGGAUUCCUCAAGUGCAGUGUUUAUUUUUUGCUUCUAAGAAGGAAUUGUUUGCCGUUGGUUCCACUAGUAUGAAUAACAUCAUAGCUUGUUUUACAUGUACACUAUACUUUAAUUAAUACAGAGGUAUAAUUUAAGAAAUCGAAGUACAUUGAAAAUGUUGUUUUUCACCAACAGAAAUGGAUGAUGACGAUCAGUUAGAGAGUGCGAUGCUGAACAUCUCCCCCUCCAAGCUACAGUUGCGGACCUCCACGACCACUGUCAUCGUCAUCAUCGUCCUCAGAUGCUGAACUGGGACGGUCUGUGGGACCAGGAAAAGGUUUUUACACAUCAGGCUCAGCACUGGAGCACAGUUCUGUUGAAUUGUGAUAUGAAAUGCUCUCCAAGUCUGAAUAAAAAGCCUUUCUUAUUUUGUCAGUGUUUUGGCCAGAACAUGGCCAAACUACAAUAUACUAACUGUUCAAGGGGCUAUGAAUUGAUUCCCUGACCACCAUGAACUGAUAUCAACCACAAUCAGGUGUUUUCUGCUGCCCUCCCCAUAACACCUCCUGGCACCAAGCAACUGCCACCAGUCAAUGCCUCGACAGCUCAGAAAACUCCCGUGGCCCUUCCCAAAGAGCUGAUGUUUCUUGUCCCGGAACAAUCAGCUUCAACACGAUCUAUGAGACCGGUUUCAACUGCAGACAUCAGCACCACAGACAACUCUCCAGUCUGAAGGACACCUAUAAUUGAGGAAUGUGGCAAAGAUGUUAAGAUAACACUUCAUAUAGUGUUCUACAAUCAGCUGAGGCAUCACAUGCAUCAGGGGAUGGAAAAAGAAAUGACCUGGAAGGAAUUUCAGAAGUCUGCAUUUUAUGAGAUGGAAAGACAGAGAUGGGUGGCAGAAAGGAUAAAACAAAAAUCUCAUCUCUCACUCAUUUUCUACCGCUUAUCCGAACUACUUGGGUCACGGGGAGCCUGUGUCUAUCUCAGGCGUCAUCGGGCAUCAAGGCAGGAUACACCCUGGACGGAGUGACAACCCAUCACA